AUUGAACGCUGGCGGCAGGCCUAACACAUGCAAGUCGAACGGAUGAAGGGAGCUUGCUCCUGGAUUCAGCGGCGGACGGGUGAGUAAUGCCUAGGAAUCUGCCUGGUAGUGGGGGAUAACGUCCGGAAACGGGCGCUAAUACCGCAUACGUCCUGAGGGAGAAAGUGGGGGAUCUUCGGACCUCACGCUAUCAGAUGAGCCUAGGUCGGAUUAGCUAGUUGGUGGGGUAAAGGCCUACCAAGGCGACGAUCCGUAACUGGUCUGAGAGGAUGAUCAGUCACACUGGAACUGAGACACGGUCCAGACUCCUACGGAGGCAGCAGUGGGGAAUAUUGGACAAUGGGCGAAAGCCUGAUCCAGCCAUGCCGCGUGUGUGAAGAAGGUCUUCGGAUUGUAAAGCACUUUAAGUUGGGAGGAAGGGCAGUAAGUUAAUACCUAGCUGUUUUGACGUUACCAACAGAAUAAGCACCGGCUAACUUCGUG
rnacentral:rRNA from 1 species